rnacentral:lncRNA from 1 species
CUCACUUCAUCCUCCACCUCAACUUUCUCUCCCGUUCAUUUUCUCUUGUUCUUCAAUCUUAAUCAUUUUCUAGAAAGCAUCACAAACUCAAUUGUUCAUCUUUUUCAACCUUUGGGCUCUCUAUGGGGUAUGAUGGUUCUGUAUAGUUCAGUAAGGGAAAUUUUAGAAUUUUGGGCCUACAUGCCCAGAUUGGCCUUGUUCGUGUGGCCCACAUGGCCACACUCACACCGUUACACGGCCUUGUCUCGUACACGACCAGCCACACGACCGGGCACACACCCGUGUGGCGUCGAAGCGCCCUUUUUUUACUUUCGUCGAACCUCAAUUUUUCGUGUUUAGGGUACACACCUGAUACGAUUUUGAUGCGAAAAUACUCUCGAGACCACUAGAACCUAAAAAUCGACAUUACAAGCUCCCAAAAUCAGUCUUCUUAAUUAAACCAAAAUAAGAAAACCGAAAAUAGUGAAGUUCAAGUGUCCCACACUUACCCAAUUCCUCAAGCGAUUUCGACUACGAUUUCGCAAGAGGCGAGUUUCUUUCCUCACGAUUAACUACUGCCAAAAAUCUCAGAAACAACAUCAAUGAAAAGAACAACAAGUUAAGAAACACUUGAAAAUUAUCCCAAACUAUACCCUCUACACUUACCAAGCCGCAUGCCAACACCAAAGAACUAGAAUAUAGAUAUUGAAUAAAAAAUUAUAAUAGAAAACGGGGAGAGAGGAAAUAGGAAUUUGUCAAUUGACAGGAAAUAUGUAGAGAAAGGAAAACUAACGUCAAAAUUAAAAAAAAUUGUUAAAAUUAAAAUAAAUUCAUAUCCUACUAAAUCUCAACCCCCAUUAUCCUACUAACUAACCCACUAUCUCUCAACCAUCUCAAAAUUCUAACUCCACCCAAACUCUCUUAGACAACCGAAGCAAAAAAUCUAUCACCCAUGCUCACACAAGGAUUCAAACACAAGACCUCCAACAAGCUUACUCCUUACUACUCAAACCAACAAGUUCAUUCUAAUACAAGUUUACCAACAAUAUUACAUAAGCCUACCCAGCAGGGAUAAGGCUAGGAUUAAAAAUAACAAAAUUGCCAAAAGUAAGACUUGAACCCAAAACCUCACACACACACCCUCAGAACAUUUAACCACUAUACUCAUUUAUGCCAAAUUUCACCAAAAGCAGACUUAAAUUAUUCAGGGCGUUACAGUUAGCCCACUUGUUUCUUCUAUUCUUUUUAUUAUUAUAUCAGUCUGAUUUUUUUCAAAAAAUAGAAUAAAAAUAAAUGUAAUUUAAAAUAAUAUUUCUUUAUUUUAUUUAUUAAUCAACAGCAUUUAUUAUUAAAAAUUAAAUCUAAAAUGAGACCCA